UUUUUUUUUUUUUUUUGGUGAAACCUUUCAUCAAUAGAGUUAAUCAUUCUCUUCCUUCUGGUCCCACAGCAUUUUGUUUUUUAUAAAAAGCUUUCAUCGCGUUGUGUGACAACUACUUACUUGGAAUUAUGUCUUAUUGUGUGUGUGUUUCCCCAAUAUUUAUGGACUGUACUUUAACAUAAUGGUCCUUUGAUAAAAAUUUACUGGAUGAAUCAAAGUUCUUGAGAAAAUAUCAAUACUCAGCCCUUGAAUUUUCUUAAUUGUCCCCUGCCUUUUCUUCCUUGGGGUGAAAAUGCAAGCAGUUUCAGUUCCACAUGGAAUAGGGGACACACUAAAACUAAAAAAAAAUUUAAAGAAAUUUCUCCAGCAGGAAUUGGUGUUUCAGAUGUAUCAUUCUAUUACAGGUACAGAAAUUGUUUCCAGGAAACAUUGCCAUUAUUAUCUCUGAAAGGCAAGUCAGUAGAAAUUGUUAUUUUCCAUUUACAGGUGGACAAAUGGAAGCUUUCGUUCUCAUUUGCCAAUUACAGAAUGUGCACUCUGUUCAAAGUACUGUGCUUGGAUUUUCAUGGGAUACAAAGACGUGCAAGACAAGGUUCUCGUUCUAAAGGGGAAUGUUAUAAUCUGGUUAGGAGGAAAAGAUCUUUGUAUGCAAAAGUAACUAUAAUUUGGGAGUAUUUAAUUGGAAUCAUAUGAGUGGUCCAAAAAGAAGUACCAAAGGGAACACAGAAAGCAAGCAAAAGAUUUUCCAGCCAAGGUGAUUAGGGCUAUCAUUGUGGUCAAAGAGGCAUUUGAGAGAAAUAGAUUUUGUGCUGGUUAUUUUUCAUUUGGCCCCUGUAUUAGUUUCCUGUGACUGCUGUAACAAAUUACCAGACAGGGUGGCUUAAAACAACAGAACUUUAUUUUCUCAAAAUUCUGGAGGCAAGAAGUCCAAAAUCAAGGUUUUGGCAGGGCCAGGCUCCCUGCAAAGUCUCUAGGGGUGAAUCUGUUUCUUGUCUCUUCCAGCUUCUGAUGGCUCCAGGCUUUCCCUGGCUUGUGGCCACUUUAUUCCAGUUCUGAUUCUGUGGAUACAUUGCUUCCUCCUUUCUCCGCUUUUAUUAGGAUACAUGUGAUUGCAUUUAGGGCCCACCCAUGUAAACUAGGAUAUGCUCCUCCACACAGGAGCCCCAACUUAAUCACAUUUUUUUGCCAUGUAAUAUAAUUUUCUCAGGUUCCAGGGAGUAGCAUGUGAGCAAUUUUUUUUUUUUUUGAGGCACCACUACUUAGCCCACUGACAGCCUCCUAUGCUCCUCUGCCCUGCUCUGUGCCUGGUGAGGCUGUUAUCCAAAGAUGACUCACCUAGACCCCACUGCCCUCUGGCGUACUGUUGGAUUUUGCCAAUGGGACGUAUCAGCAACUAUCAGAGGGUAAGAGGAAAAAGAGGUUGAGGUAUUUCUUCUUCUUUCUUCCAGCUUUAGCACCACGGUUCUGGCAGCAGAUAUGCCCCUUCCCAGCUCUGGCUCCUGCGGGACUCUCAUAACACCAUUUCUACCCCUUGUCUCUUCAGCCCUGGGUUUCCACACUUGCUAGUCCUUGGGUACCUCAAUAUUCUUUUGAUGUGCCAGAAACCCUGGCUACAUCCUUGUAAAUAGUGUCUCCAUCAAACUAUUUUCAAAAUCCCAGCUAAGGGCGCCUUUGGUUUCCAGCCACAAUCUUGACUGAUAGAGGCACUGAGAAGCAAAAAUUUAAUUUCCAGAACAGAGAUAGACUCAGGUUGCCUCAAUCUAAGUUUAGUAAUGACCAGUGGGGACUGGAAGGUGAUUCAGCACACAACACAGCCAUUGCAGCUGCGUUAUCUAUCUUGCGGGCUCUUCAGCAGUAAAUAUCUGUUGCUUUGUACUCUAAUUAUCUGCUAUUAUUGUGACUCUCUGCUUCUGCUGCCCUUGCUACUAAGUACUUGCUAUUCUUUUCUCUAUCUCAUAGCUUCUAUUGCUUCAUGAAUUCCAGUUACGUGCUGUCAGCUUUCUUCCUUUUCUCUGAGAACUUUUAGUUUCUCCCCACUGCUAAGUGCUGAUUCCCUCUCUAUAUUUCAUACUCAGUUCCUCCAAAGGGCCUGACUGGUUUGGCUGCUCGCCGUCAAGUUAGGCAGAGCCUCUGUGACAAGCCAUCACAUCAGCAUAAGUUUAUUGCUCUACAUUAGGUGCCUGCUUUCUGGACUAAACAGUUUUGUUUAAAAUGGCAGAAUAAGUUGAUACAUAAUUUGCUGUCCCAUUAGAAAUUCCUGGGAAGUGGUUAUGGGUGUGGCAGGUAUUCUGAUACUUCCGGAGGGAGAUUAUCAAAACCCACAAGUACCUCUUCUUGUCCAGGGCCAUGGUGGGCUCAGAAAAGCACAACACAUGUUUGGGAAAAGCAAGCAGCCCUGAAUAGCUGGUGGUGUAAUUCAAAUAGAGAAACGCUAUUGUUGGUAUUAAAGCUGGAAAUGUAGGUCACGAAAGUUUGUGAAGAGCCUUGAGUGAAGAUUUGUUUUAGAAGGAACUUUAGACAUUAUUUUACGGGCAGUGAGAAGUUAAUGAAGGUUUUUGAACAUGGGAGAGCAAGAUUAAAAUCAGUUUUUAGGGCUAUUUAUCAGAUGGCAAUGGUAUUCAGAUUAGAACAGAAGUAGGAAAAUGUGGAAACAGGAAGAUAAAUUAGGAAGGUGUUGUAAUAGUCUAAGCAAGAAAAAUGGGGACCCAAGCCAGGAGAAGACUAGAAAGGAAGGCAAAGCUAGUCAUGAGAACUUCAGAGCAUGAGUGGAUUUCCAUUUGAGGCUAGUUUUGAGCUACGGGUUCAGAAUCUUUUUACCACCAAGGAUCCUUUCAAAUUUAUUUAUUUAUUUAUUUAUUUAUUUAUUUAUUUAUUUAUUUAUUUUAGGACCGCACAUGCGGUCUGUGGAAGUUCCUAGCCUAGGGGUUGGAUCAGAGCUGUAGCUGUGGGCCUACACCACAGCCCCACCAACGUGCAUCUGGGGCUGCAUCUGUGACCUACACUGAACCUUGUGGCAAUGCGAUAUCCUUAACCCAUUGACUGAGGCCAGGGAUUGAACCUGCAUCUUCACAAACACUACGUCAGAUUUUUAGCCUGGUGAGCCACAACGGGAACUCCUUUUUAAUUAUUUUUAUUUUCUUCCAAAUAAAUGACACUUUUUGGAGAAAUACACGAAUUCUAUCAGGUAUACUAAGAAAACUGACAAUAUUAUUAUCAGUGACUAUCUUUUCAAAUACACGUUUGGAAACUUGGCUCUGAGCCAAGAGAAUUUAGGAAAUGGUGGUUCCACAGGCGAAACUGGAUCUGAAUAUCUUAGCCUACGUUUUCUAGAAAAUUAGAACUCAAACCAAGAAUUAAUGCUAAUGCUUCAUUUCAGAGAUGUAAUCCCAGGCAGUAAGAUUGAGAGGAAAAGGAAAGAGAGAUGGAGAAGGAUGGGACACAAUGCAAGAUGAUGUUUGAAUAAUCUGCAGAGACAGUAGGUACGCCUGCAUAUCCAUGCAGGAUAUCUCCGGACAUGCACCAUGGCGAAAACAUGCUCAGGUAAGUUCUUGGGAAGCAGAAAGGAAAAAAAAUCCAUCUUCAUGGUUCUCUCCUAUUUCCCACUGAUCAAAAUUUACCACACCAGGAGUUUCUUUCCUCAUCGUUCCAGGUUAUGUCGUAUGUUCCCAUGUUAGUCUCUUAGCAGGCCACAGCCAGUGCUCUAUGGUGUGGCCUGUAAUCCUGCUCGGGGAAUGGAGAGAGAAGCCAGAAAUUCAUGGUGUGCAGCUGAAGAACCUAGUUUCUCAGUGGCAAUCAAGGAGGAGGCCCAGGCUGGGAAAGUGGCAGAUAAAUUCCAGCCCAAGGUAGCAAGGCUACAUGGGCCCAAACAAAGCAAGUCAGUUGCAGCGGUGGCUAAGCUGGAACUGGAACCACCUCCAGGAAGUGUUCUGAGGGUUACAAAGAAUAACUAUAGGGAAGUAUAUUCCUAGACAGCACAGAAUAAGUGAAUCUGAACAUAGGCUUUGGAGACAGGCAGAGGGGCACUUAUGUCAUAGCUGUAUAUGAUGAUCUAAGGCAAUUUACUUAAUCUCUUUAAGCCUUAGUUUCUUUACACAUAGCAUGGGGAUGAUAAUACUGUAUAGCUCAUCAUUUGGUAUGAUGCUAGGAAUACAGUAAAUGCUAAAUAAAUUAUGGCAAUUAUGACCAAAGAUGACUGUGUGAUCUUCCCAAUGCUUUCUUUUCUCUAGGCUGACUCUGCAUGUACUGCUCCUAAAUCCAUCUUGAGCAGGGUGGGUGGCUUGAAACCAAGUCCUUUAGUCAGCCUCAGGGGCAGCUGCACUUGAGGUCAUGGAGCCCCACAUGAGGUCACAUGGCCCCCACAGCAUGCUGACACAUUAAGCCCCAAGAUGGCAGCACUGCUAACCCAUCACCUUAGGUAUGCAGAAAGGACAUAUCUUGAAUAACCAUUUUUUCCUAAACUUUUUUUCCCUUCAAAGUAGAAAAAUAAAGUUUUUUGGUCAAAAUUGCUUUGUUGGCCCCAGAAAGCACAGCCAAAUACAUUAGUAUUACUAGGUCCACACAAUAAAGAGGUUCCUAUAAGACUUUAAAAAUAGAGGAGAUUACUCUUACACAAAUGGUAUUUGAUAGGAUGUAAUCUCUAAAUUAUACACAUCAAAAUUUCUUUGUUCUCAUAAAUUAAAAUUAUUUCAACUUUACAUAAGCAUACUAGAUGCCAAGAGGGAGUUCCCUGGUGGCCUAAAAAUAAAUGUUCAAUGGGAAUUAAACUGAAGGAAAUUCACUUUUCUAAUCCUCAUGGUGAUUUUCUUCACUGACUGACCAGAAAUUGAUUGAUAGCCCUUAUGCCUUCAGCUCUUUCCAGUCUUCUGAUCUAUAGAUGAUCCCGAAGCUAACUUACUUUAUUUAAAAAAUAUAUACUCAUAAAUUAUUGCUAUGGACUGAAUGUGAGUGUCUACCUCCCAAUUCAUAUAAUGAAGCCCCAGUCCCCAAUGUGCUGUUAUCUGGGGACAGGGCCUUUGAGAAGUAAUGCACUUCACUUGAGAUGAGGUCAUGAAGGUGGAGCCUCCUGAUGGGAGAAGUGCCCUUAUAGGCAGUGAAGAGACCAGAGCUCUUCUCUCUCAGGCAUGUGAGGACGGCAAGAAGACGGUGUAGUGCAAACUAGGAAUAGGGCUCCUGUCAGACACCAGAUCUACUGGCACCUUAAUCCUGGACCUUACAGCAUCCAAGUGUGAGAAAUGAAUGUCUGUGGUUUAAGCUGCCCAGUAUAUGAUAUUUUUGUUAUAGCAGCCCACGCUGACUAUGACAGAAAUUGGUACGCAGAAGAGAGGGUGCUGCUAUAAUAAAUACCUAAAAAUAUGGAAGCAGCUUUGGAACCGGGUAAUAGGCAGAAGCUGGAAGAUUUCUGAGCUGCCUGCUAGAAAAAGUCAACAUUGUUAUGAAGGGACUCCUAGAGGCAAUUCUGGUGAGAUCUCAGAGAGAGAAGAUGAAAGCUGCAGAGAAUGUUUCCAUCUUCCUAGAGAAUAUAAAUAAUCAUGCACAGAGUGUUGGUAGAAAUAUGGACAGUAAAGGCCAUUCCGGUCUCAGACAGAAAAGAGAAAUACGUUAUUAGAAACCAGAGGCAAGGUGAUCCUUGUUAUACCGUGCCAAAAACUUGGCUGAAUUGUGUUCAUAUUCUAGUAUUUUGUGGAAGGUAAGAACUUUCAAGUGAUGAAAAUGGAUAUCUAGUUGAGGAGAUUCCUACACCAAGUGUUGAAGGAGCAGCUUGGUUCCUCCUGACUGCUUGCAUUGCAAAACGUGAGAAGAGAGAAGUGAAUUGAUGAUUGUUAGGCAAAAAGGAACCAGAAAAUUGUCAGCCUGUCCAUAUUACAAAAAAUGAGAAAGCAUGACUGAUGGACGUCUUGGAUUUUACAGGCCUGGGACCAUAGAGCUAUUCAGUUGGAAUAUAAGCUGUUCUUCAAGACAAGAAAGAAUGACCCUGAAGGCAGUUUAGAAAUCAGGGUUUCAAAAAGUGAGGUGAGAGAGAAGGGAACUGCCUUGGUUUCAACAGGCCAGAUCGCCUCUAACCAAAGUCAUGGGAGUGACUCUUGGGACCACCUAGAGCCUUUAGGGAGUGACCACUUUCUGGCAAAGCCGCUGGUGGGUGUCUCUGGCUGGCAGAGCUUCUGCGGCAGGACCACUCUAGGAGGGUCCAGAGGCAGAGCAUCAAACCAGAGGGAUUGUUCUCUAGCCUUAAGAUCUCAUGGAGUUUGCUCUGCUAGGUUUUGGACUUGUUUGGGGCUCAUUACUCCUUCCUUCUUUCCUCUUUCUUUCUUUUGGAAAGGGAAUUUCUAUCCUACUCUCUGGUUUCACAGGUUCAUAGCUGGAGAGGAAUUUAAAAAAUUUUAUUAUUGUUAUUUUUUGGCUGUGCCUGAAGCAUGUGGAAGCACUCUGGACCAGGGAGUGAAACCCAGCCACAACAGUGACAAUGCCAGAUCCCUAACCCACUGAUCCACCAGGGAACUCUGAGAGGAAUUUUGCCUCAGAAUGAGUCUCACUCAUGUCUGAUUUAGAUGAGACCCUGGACUUUAGAGUUGAUGCUGGAAUAAAUUAAGACUUUGGGGGCUAUUUGGGAUAGAAUGCAUGAUUUUGUCUGUAAGGACAUGCACUUUUGGGGGCCAGGGAUGAAAGCAAGAACUUGGCUGUCUACAAACCAGGAAGAGGGCUCUUACCAGGUACUAAAUCUACUAGUGUCUUGAUCUUGGACUUCCUAGCCUCCAGAACUGUGAGAAAUGUUUGUUGUUUAAGCAACACAGUCUAUGAUAUUUUUAUUUAAGCAGCAUGAACUAAUACAAUUAGAAGAAAUUCAGGAGGGGGAGUUUCCUUGUGGUGUAGCAGGUUAAGGAUCCAGUGUUAUCACUGCAGUGGCUCAGGUCACUGCUGUGGCUCAGGAUGGAUCCCUGGCCUGGGAAUCUCCAUGUGCCAUGCUGUGGCAAAAAAAAAGAAAGUGAGAAAGAGAGGAAGAAAGAAAGAAAGAAAGAAAGAAAGAAAGAAAGAAAGAAAGAGAAAGAAAGAGAAAGAGAAAAAAAGAAAGAAAAAGAAAAAUUCAGGAGGAGGAACUAAGGGAUUCAAUUCAGGAGUAUCUACUAUUUGCUAGUUAUACAGGAUUUAAAGAGUAAUGUAGGUGUAGACCUAAAAAGUUCCCACUGGAGUUCCCGUCAUGGCGCAGUGGUUAAUGAAUCCAACUAGGAACCAUGAGGUUGUGGGUUCGAUCCCUGGCCUUGCUCAGUGGCUUAAGGAUCUGGCUUUGCUGUGAGCUGUGGUGUAGGUCGCAGACGUGGCUCGGAUCCCGCGUUGCAGUGGCUCUGGCGUAGGCUGGCGGCUAUAGCUCCGAUUGGACCACUAGCCUGGGAACCUCCAUAUGCUACGGGAGCAGUCCAAAAAAAUGGCAAAAAGGCAAAAAGGCAAAAAAAAAAAAAAAAGUUCCCAUUAAUUACAUUAGGAAAAAAGAGACCAAGAUCUAGAUACCUGGGUUCUAAAUUCAGAUCUGCAAACAGCCCAGCUAUGUAAACGACCUUAGACAUGAUAUCCAACAUACAUGGGUAUUAGUUUCUUCAUCUGUUGCAUAAUAGUAUCAUGAAGGGAAAUUCUUCCUUUUACAGCAGAGCUUACCUAGGAUAUAGCAUAUUGAGUACUGCGUGGUCUCUCCCAACCAGCUGAAAAUUGUUAAAGAAACAAUGAACUUUGAAUGAUCUUGGUAAGUUAAAGCAAGACCCUUAAAAGACCAAUCUGAAGACAUUUUUCCUUGUCCAUGAAGUAUAGGGCUUGUUAACCAAUCAUAUACAAAGCUGUGGCUUUAUUCCCACAUAUUUAGAGCAUUUAUUUUAAUCUUUAAUUAAUGUAACAAACCAAGACACCCCUUCCUAAAAAUUAAAAACACCUUCUUUCCCCCACCCCCCAUUCAAUUGGUAUGCUUCUUUGCCUGGACAUAAAUAAAAUGAGCUGGAUUUGUUUUGCUCUUUAUCUCUUCAUUAUGUGGCCAUAUCUUAUACCUGAAUAGCACUAAGUCUCUUCCCACCUGAGAAGAAGAGGAUGCAGUCAAAUAGGGUGGGCUUUUGCACCAAAGAGAUUCUGACUCUGUCACUGAUUAGUUAUAUUUCCUUGGAUAAGUUAUUAUCAUGGUUAGGGUCCCAGCUGGAAACAGAUGGUAUUCCCAAAUUGGACAAUUUGAGAGGUUUAAUAAAGGGACUAUUUAUAAAGAUGUGAAGACAUACUGGGAAACCACAGGGAGCAAGGCGAGGUGGUGGUUACUGGAACCCAGAACUAGCGAGAGCUGUGCGGAGAGGCCACUUGGGAGGACUUGCGACCUCUGGUUAAAAGGGCCAGUUAGCCCACUGUGCUUACAAGCAUGGAGUCAGGGGAAGGAAAUCCCAACCUCACCUCUUCCCUCGCACACAUCUGCAAGGGGCAAACCAAAGAAAACAAACAGUUAUUUAACCUUUCUUACUUUUCUCAUUUGUGAAAAAGGGAAUAAUAAUAUUUCCCGCUCAGAGUUUCUGUGAGAAUUAAAUGAGAACUUAGAUCAUAGCAGAUGAGCUAGGCCUUCUUCCUUCACUUGACCUUCAAAAUCCCCCUGUGAAAUAGACAGGAUAGAUUUGAUUGAAGGCCACUUUAUCAUGGUGGAAAAUGAAGACUCUGAGAAGUAACUUUCCCAAGGUCCCAUUGCUGGAAGAGUAGCAGAACUUGGACUGAAAGCAAGAUUUUUAAUGUACAUUCUAGGUUUCUUUCUCUAGACUAUUUUGUACCCCUCAACGCCUUUUGCAGAAGGCUGCCACAGAUGGUUUCUAGAGCUGCUAUACCCAGGGCUAUGGUGACUGCUAUUUACAGAAAAACUGAUUGACCCAGGAAGCAGUGCCUAAGCCAAAAAAAAAAAAAAAA
rnacentral:lncRNA from 1 species